rnacentral:rRNA from 1 species
GACGAACGCUGGCGGCAUGCCUAACACAUGCAAGUCGAACGAGACCUUCGGGUCUAGUGGCGCACGGGUGCGUAACGCGUGGGAACCUGCCCUUAGGUUCGGAAUAACUCCCCGAAAGGGGUGCUAAUACCGGAUAAUGUCUUCGGACCAACGAUUUAUCGCCUUUGGGUGGGCCCGCGUUGGAUUAGCUAGUUGGUAGGGUAAUAGCAUACCAAGGCGACGAUGCAUAGCUGGUGUGAGAGGAUGAUCAGCCACAAUGGGAAUGAGACACGGCCCAGACUGCGACGGAAGGGAGCAGAGGAGAAUAUUGGAGACUGGGGGAAAGCCUGACAAAGCAGCGCCGGGUGAGUGAUGAAGGGGGUAGGGUUGCAAAGCUCUUUUACACGGGAUGAUAAUGACAGUACCGGGAGAAUAAGCUCCGGCUAACUACGUG